rnacentral:rRNA from 1 species
AGUGAACGCUGGCGGCGUGCCUAAUACAUGCAAGUCGAACGAACGAAUAAGAGCUUGCUCUUAUAAGUUAGUGGCGCACGGGUGAGUAAUAUAUAGCUAAUCUGCCUCUUAGUAGAGGAUAACAGUCGGAAACGAUUGCUAAUACUCUAUACUUCUGCUUUACAUAAGUAAAGUAGAGAAAGUUUUUCGCUAAGAGAUGAGGCUAUACUGUAUCAGCUAGUUGGUAAGGUAACGACUUACCAAGGCUAUGACGCAUAACUGGUCUGAGAGGAUGAUCAGUCACAUUGGAACUGAGACACGGUACAAACUCCUACGGGAGGAAGCAGUAGGGAAGAUUGAGCGAUGGGAGAAACACUGACGCAGCAACGCCGCGUGGAGGAUGACACUUUUCGGAGAGUAAACUCCUUUUAUCGGGAAAGAAUAAUGACGGUACCCGAUGAAUAAGCACCGGCUAACUACGUG